AUGCAAUCGGGGAAAAUAUUCCAUGAGGGCACUUUGAUUUUUCUUUACAACACACUACCAAAUUACGUGACGCGCCCAUCGUGCAGGAAGCUUCUCGCAGGCUGUGGAGAGCAGCCUGUCUGCUUUGAGAAGUGCAGAUCUAUCAGGAUCCAGAGUCGGGCUCUGAAAAAGCUGUCAUUUCAUGUCUCUAAAACAGCCUCUGAUUUAAUGUACAAGAUGUCAAGAAGUAAAGGACAAUAAAAUAAAAGCCAAAAAGGAGAACCAUUUCAAUUAAGAGUCAUUUCUGUACCAAUUCUUGGAAAUCUAGUAAAAUAAAAACUGUCAGAAUCAAUCUGUGUUUAAAAAGUUGAUUUUUGUGGUGCUCACAGAGAAACUGCAAGACAGAAAAAAAAAUACAAAUUAUUAACAGAGC
rnacentral:lncRNA from 1 species